UACGGAGGGGACUAGCGUUGUUCGGAAUUACUGGGCGUAAAGCGCACGUAGGCGGAUUCGUAAGUCAGGGGUGAAAUCCCGAGGCUCAACCUCGGAACUGCCUUUGAUACUGCGAAUCUCGAGUCCGGAAGAGGUGAGUGGAAUUCCUAGUGUAGAGGUGAAAUUCGUAGAUAUUAGGAAGAACACCAGUGGCGAAGGCGGCUCACUGGUCCGGUACUGACGCUGAGGUGCGAAAGCGUGGGGAGCAAACAGG
rnacentral:rRNA from 1 species